GACUUUUUACCUUUUUCAUGAUGGAGUCCUGUACUGUGUAGGUUACAGUUAUUCUAGUCCAUGGAGUGCUGGUAGUGGUAUUUGUAUCCCAUCUGUCUUCCAUUCCAUAUCACAGGCCCAGUUGUGAUCAGGGAUGUCAGCUCACUUCACACAAUCAGAACUUGUUCAUUUGGGGCACCCUGAAUGAUGCCAGAUGGGCAAGAACCUGAAUGAGAACCACCUCAAGAGAACCUCUUGCCUGGAACCUCAUGGAUUCCUCAGAGAAUGUUGUGAACUGCCAACAGAAGCUGGACUACUUCUGUAAGAGAAAUUCCUCAUCAACCACGUGGUCAGGUAUG